GAUUUCUGGUCUGACAUGCCUGGCCCGCCGGGGUUACCCGCGUGAGUGCCGGUGCGCGUCUACCAUCCUUCCGGAAAACGGCCUUACCCUUCACUGGGCCGAGGUCGCGAUCCGGAUCUUUUACUUUGAAAAAAUUAGAGUGUUUAAAGCAGGCUUGCGCUAUGAAUACAUUAGCAUGGAAUAAUAAUUUAGGACUUUGGUCUUAUUUUGUUGGUUUCUAGGACUAAAGUAAUGAUUGAUAGGGACAGUUGGGGGUGCUAGUAUUCAGCGGCCAGAGGUGAAAUUCUUGGAUUCGCUGAAGACUAACUUAUGCGAAAGCAUU
rnacentral:rRNA from 1 species